CCUACGGGCGGCAGCAGUGGGGGAUAUUGCACAAUGGGGGGAACCCUGAUGCAGCGACGCCGCGUGGGUGAAGGAGUGCUUCGGCAUGUAAAGCCCUAUCGGCAGGGAAGAAGCAAGACGGUACCUGACUAAGAAGCCCCGGCUAACUACGUGCCAGCAGCCGCGGUAAUACGUAGGGGGCGAGCGUUAUCCGGAUUCACUGGGUGUAAAGGGAGCGUAGACGGCCAUGCAAGCCAGGGGUGAAAGCCCGGGGCCCAACCCCGGGACCGCCCUUGGAACUGUGCGGCUAGAGUGCGGGAGGGGCAGGCGGAAUUCCUGGUGUAGCGGUGAAAUGCGUAGAUAUCAGGAGGAACACCGGCGGCGAAGGCGGCCUGCUGGACUGCGACUGACGUUGAGGCUCGAAAGCGUGGGGAGCGAACAGGAUUAGAUACCCGGGUAGUC
rnacentral:rRNA from 1 species